AUGAAAAUACAAAUAUUAAUCAGCCAUUGUGGUUUGUGCCUGUGGUCCCAGCUACUUGGGAGGCUGAGGUGUGCUGGUCCUCUUUGGGAGGCUGCUGUUGUGGUCAGUUUUUCUAAGCCUGGCUUUCUGUGGAUGAAGGACUCCAGAAACACCCUGAAAUUCUGAGUGAGUAAGCAGAGGUAUAUUUUUCUGGGCAGAAGGGCUUCAGCUUUCAUUAGAUCUUAAGAGUGAUACCUCCAUGACUCCAGAAUGGUUAAGAAUCUCUGUUCUAUGCUAUAGUUGAUUCCACAGCUUCUUCUCCACCUGCACUUCUGAACUCUUAGACUUGCUAAACACUCAAGUUCUGAUUGCCUUCACUACAGGCACCUGAAUACUCUUAGUAGUUGUGAGAAGGGGAAAGCAGACAGGGCAUGAAUAGUACUGACUAUUUUCUUUAUAGACUUUUUUUGGAACAUAAUUUUUCCUUGUAUAAGUGAAGUCUCACUAAGGAAAAUGUAGAAACUGAGGACAAAUAGAAGAAACAGGAGAAAAGCACUCAUGUUCUAAGCAGUGUGUCACUUUAGUAGCUGCGUGACUAUUGUUCCUUAGUUUCUUUACUUUUAAAAUGGGUACACUAAAAGCAUUUACAUCAUAUGUUGGUUGUUUUUGUAUUAAUUUCUGGCAUAUGAUUGGCAUUCAAUGAGUAUUAACUAUUUUGUUACUCUCAAGCCUGAGUUUGUCUAUAAAAUUGGGUGGAGUAUCUACAUACCUGAUUUGGACUUCUGCAUAGGAGAGUUCUCUCUUUUCCCUGAUUUGUUAAUUUUUUUUAAUUUUAUUUUUUCAACUUCUGGGGUACAUGUGUAGCAUGCAGGUUUGUCAAUUUGUUCAAUAAUUUAUAUCAUUAUGGAUUCAUGGUUACUUAUUUUAUAUUUUGGGUUAUAAACCAAUACUUUGUUCCAUAUUUGACCAUUGAGAGCUCUUUUGACUUUUGCACCCCUUUGAUAUACUCCUGUUGAUCUGGAUUUUUUUGUGUGUUUUGUUCCUUACUUUCUGGUACCAAAAAGUGCUUCAAGCUUAUCUUACAUAUUUUCUGCACAGUCCUAGAAUCAGCCAUUACUUUAAGGACCCCUAUCCAGUUUACUGGAGAAUAGCAUUAGAAACCCAUACUGCAUGCUGCAUGUACUUGUUACUGUAGAGUGUCAUUUCUUUAAGGUUCUGUCAGCCAACAGAGCAAAUAAAUAUAUACGUGUAUACCGGCCUGUGUAUAUAUGCAUAUCUAUAAAUAUUUUUAUGUGUAAUCACCUUAUCUAUUUGAAUUAAACAUAAAACAUAAAUUCUUUUUUUUUUUUUUUUUUUUGAGACGGAGUUUCGCUCUUGUUUCCCAGGCUGGAGUGCAAUGACGCGAUCUCGGCUCACGGCAACCUCGCCUCCUGGGUUCAGGCAAUUCUCCUGCCUCAGCUUCCUGAGUAGCUGGGAUUACAGGCACGUGCCACUGUGCCCAGCUAAUUUUUUGUAUUUUUAGUAGAGACGGGGUUUCACCAUGUUGACCAGGAUGGUCCCGAUCUCUUGACCUCGUGAUCCACCCGCCUUGUCCUCCCAAACAUAAAUUCUUAAUGAUGUCUCCAACUCUGAUUCAUUACUACCAGGAUCAUUUUAGCAUCCUUCCCUUGAUGAUCUGUAAAUUUCCACUCCUUUGGUGAGAAGUAUGUUUCCCAAAUUUUCUACCAUUCAUUUACUUGUCUAAUUCCUGUAAACACUGAUAGCAAUAUCUGAAUUAACUUGUACUCCCCUGAGAAACUAUUUCAUUGGCUAGCGUAAAAUAUUUAUAUGCAGUUCCUUUUGCCUUUAGUUUUAUGUUAAAAGUUGGUUUAUCUACAUCAAAAGUUACUCUUGUAGGCCCAGGCGCGACGGCUCACGCCUGUAAUCCUAGCACUUUGGGAAGCUGAGGCGGGCAGAUCACGAGGUCAGGAGUUCAAAACCAGGCUGGCUAACAUGAUGAAAUCCCCUUUCUACUAAAAAACACACACACACACAAAUUUGCUGGGCAUGGUGGUUCAUCCCUGUAAUCCCAGCUACAUGGGAGACUGAGGUAGGAGAAUUGCUUGAACCGGGACCUGGGAGGCAGUGGUUGCAGUCAGCUGAGAUUGCGCCACUGCAUUCUGGCAUGGGCUAUGGAGCAAGACUCCAUCUCAAAAAAAGAAAAAAAAAUUAUUCUCGUAUUAUAAACGUCUAUGGUUUUGACAAACACAUAAUGUCAUGCAUCCAUCAUUCAGUACCGUACAGAAUAGUUUUGCCACCCUAAAUAUCCCUUAUGCUUCGCCUAUUCAUACUUUUUAUUCCUCCUUGAAUCUCUAGCAAGCACUGAUCUUAUUUGUCAUUACC
rnacentral:lncRNA from 1 species